CGAAAGCCUGACGGAGCAAGACCGCGUGAGGGAGGAAGGCUCUUGGGUUGUAAACCUCUUUUCUCAGGGAAGAACAAAAUGACGGUACCAAAGGAAUCAGCCUCGGCUAACUCCGUGCCAGCAGCCGCGGUAAUACGGAGGAGGCAAGCGUUAUCCGGAAUGAUUGGGCGUAAAGCGUCCGCAGGUGGCAAUGUAAGUCUGCUGUCAAAACCCAGGGCUCAACUCUGGUCAGGCAGUGGAAACUACAUAGCUAGAGUGCCGUAGGGGUAGAGGGAAUUCCCGGUGUAGCGGUGAAAUGCGUAGAGAUCGGGAAGAACAUCGGUGGCGAAAGCGCUCUACUGGACGGCAACUGACACUCAGGGACGAAAGCUAGGGGAGCG
rnacentral:rRNA from 1 species